rnacentral:misc_RNA from 1 species
AUUUCUCUCGCCGACCUGCUCCGUUGAAAUCAAACACUCGACCCCUCCGAUGGCCUUAAAAUGGCUUUUCCCAUCAAUGCGGGCGUGUUACACUAUGGCCGCCGCUGUCAAUAGUCGGGUGAAAUUUAUGGACGGGUUAUUAAUUAUACGACCUAUCGUUAUGACGAUAAGUUGGAGGACGGCGGUCAUCAUGCCAUCUGGGUCAGUCUGUGUCGGCUUGACUGCUUUAGUGUGAAGGCAAUAUGUCGUAAAAGAAGAUGAAGUCAUUGGGAAGUCCUUUUCUGACGUACAAGACAUUAAAAUGUUUCGAACAAAUUUUCAAAAGAUUUUUACGCGCGUUUAUAUCAGUUCCGCAUUUUGACAGUUCAAGUCAAGUUUGUUGACCGCAACCUUCGCUCAAAGAGUCAAACGGAAAAUGAGAGCGAUCCAUUUAGGCCAAUUUUUAUCGUACAAAAAUCCCAGUAGUUGGUAUAUGUUUAGGUCAAAACCCAUUUAACUGCUUGCUCCGAUUAUUGCAGAGCGGUCAAAUUUUAUACGUAGGAAUAAAAAUGAACGAUGAAACAAAUUUGCAUAAAUGGCACCACGUCGUUUUUCUUUUUUAGUCGAGAAAAUUCCAGUUUUGUCGGCCGGCCGGCACAUUCCGCAAGUUUACACGCUAUAGUGUGUUUGUGUGCGAUACAUUCCAGCAAGCUGAUGGUUGCCGGACAUCGGUGGGCAUUGACCGAUACAGUUAUUACACGGAUGUAAAAUAAUUCCUAUCGUUUAGGAAAAACAAGCUUAACUUUUUCUGGGACUUGAUAGACGAAUCAUCUUAAGCCUUAUUCGCUUUGUAAACUGGAGAUAUCAUGGUGUAUCAAAACUCAGUUAUUUCUUUGCACCUGAAAGGACAUCAGGGCAAUGUGUAUGAUCUUGAAUGGAACAAGAAUGAAGGCGGAGAGGGUUGGCGUUUACUUUCCUGCGGUGCGGACUGCACUGCUCGAGUUUGGAACGAUUCCAAUGACGUGGUUUUGUCUCAUCCAGCUUACGUGUACAGCGCCCGUUUCGGCGAAUCCGACGACCGUGUAGUCACUGGAUGUUUCGAUCAGCUGAUACGGUUAUGGGAAUUGAAUUCAUCGUCACCUCGUCUAAUAAGCACCUAUGUCCAGCACAGGGCACCGAUCAACAGCCUCUGCUGGGACUCCCAUGGAAGAUUAUUUAGCGCAGAUGCGAAAGGUUCCAUUUGUGUCUGGAACUCGACCAUUUCUGGCUUACAUUUUGAAAAGAUCCUCAACGAAUCUAGUGAAGAAUAUCGCAAUGAAACUCCCAUCAACUGCCUCUGCUUUCAUCCUUCUGGAGGCAGAUUACUAGUCCACUACAGAGGAAGUGAGAUGUGUUUGCUCGAGCCAAAGUCGGGUCUUAAAUUGAUUUCGUACAGUGGCAUCUAUAACCCAAGGCUGAGACUGGCAAGUAGCAUCAGUCCGUGCGGUGGUUACGUGAUAUCCGGCAGUGAGGAUGGUUCUGUUCACUGGUUUGAUUUGGAGCGGGGUGAUCUUGUAGCCGUUACAACCUUGGCCACGUCUACAAUUGAUCCCGUCAUGGCGGUCGCUUUCCACCCCACUUGUCACGCCAUAGCCUUAAGUGUUCAUUGAGCUCGCAAUGUUCUCUUUCAGUUUUGGAAUUUUGAAGCGUUUUCCAUGUAUUAACUCAGGUUACUUAUAUAUUUUCUUACUGGAUUACUGGAAGGAAUGGGAGAGUGGAAGGAGUAGAAGAAGCGUCUGGAGAAUCAGUGGAAAAGCCAUAAUCCGGAGGACCAGUGAGAAACGAAUCAUAAAAUGAAAUUAAGGACCACCAGGAGUACCAGGAGUACCAGGAGUACCAGGAGCACCAGGAGCACCAGGAGGACCAGGAAUUCCAGGAACACCAUCAAGACCUGUCAAAUAUUACAAAGCGAUUAAAAUGUUUAAAAAAUGUACUUCCAUCACAUUCCACUAAAUGAAACAUGUUUUAAUUACCGGGUGGUCCUCUCAGUGAAUUUGUCAACAAAUUUAACCAUCCAAGUAAACGAGGGUUUGAUCCCGA